GCGAAUGGAUUAAGAGCUUGCUCUUAUGAAGUUAGCGGCGGACGGGUGAGUAACACGUGGGUAACCUGCCCAUAAGACUGGGAUAACUCCGGGAAACCGGGGCUAAUACCGGAUAACAUUUUGAACCGCAUGGUUCGAAAUUGAAAGGCGGCUUCGGCUGUCACUUAUGGAUGGACCCGCGUCGCAUUAGCUAGUUGGUGAGGUAACGGCUCACCAAGGCAACGAUGCGUAGCCGACCUGAGAGGGUGAUCGGCCACACUGGGACUGAGACACGGCCCAGACUCCUACGGGAGGCAGCAGUAGGGAAUCUUCCGCAAUGGACGAAAGUCUGACGGAGCAACGCCGCGUGAGUGAUGAAGGCUUUCGGGUCGUAAAACUCUGUUGUUAGGGAAGAACAAGUGCUAGUUGAAUAAGCUGGCACCUUGACGGUACCUAACCAGAAAGCCACGGCUAACUACGUGCCAGCAGCCGCGGUAAUACGUAGGUGGCAAGCGUUAUCCGGAAUUAUUGGGCGUAAAGCGCGCGCAGGUGGUUUCUUAAGUCUGAUGUGAAAGCCCACGGCUCAACCGUGGAGGGUCAUUGGAAACUGGGAGACUUGAGUGCAGAAGAGGAAAGUGGAAUUCCAUGUGUAGCGGUGAAAUGCGUAGAGAUAUGGAGGAACACCAGUGGCGAAAGCGACUUUCUGGUCUGUAACUGACACUGAGGCGCGAAAGCGUGGGGGAGCAAACAGGAUUAGAUACCCUGUUAGUCCA
rnacentral:rRNA from 1 species